rnacentral:rRNA from 1 species
GGUUAAGCUACUAAGAGCACACGGUGGAUGCCUAGGCGCUAGGAGCCGAUGAAGGACGUGGCGAACAACGAUAAAGCCUCGGGGAGCUGUAAGCAAGCUGUGAUCCGGGGAUGUCCGAAUGGGGAAACCUAACUGGAUUCAUCUCCAGUUACUCACACCUGAAUACAUAGGGUGUGCAGAGGCAGACGAGGGGAACUGAAACAUCUAAGUACCCUCAGGAACAGAAAACAAGAGUGAUUCCGUCAGUAGCGGCGAGCGAACGCGGAACAGCCCAAACCAAUGAGCUUGCUUGUUGGGGUUGUGGGACGUCUCUUUGGAGUUACAAAGGAAGAUGGUAGGCGAAGAGGUCUGGAAAGGCCCGCAAGACAAGGUGAAAGCCCUGUAGCUAAAAUCAUCUUCUCUCCGAGACGGAUCCCGAGUAGUGCGGGGCACGUGAAACCCCGUAUGAAUCUGCCAGGACCAUCUGGUAAGGCUAAAUACUCCCUAGCGACCGAUAGUGAAGCAGUACCGUGAGGGAAAGGUGAAAAGGACCCCGGAAGGGGAGUGAAAUAGAACCUGAAACCGUGUGCUUACAAAAAGUCAGAGCCCUAUUACUGGGUGAUGGCGUGCCUUUUGUAGAAUGAACCGGCGAGUUACGUUCCCGUGCAAGGUUAAGGUGAAAAGCCGGAGCCGCAGCGAAAGCGAGUCUGAAUAGGGCGACUGAGUACGUGGACGUAGACCCGAAACCAGGUGAUCUACCCCUGUCCAGGGUGAAGGUACGGUAACACGUACUGGAGGCCCGAACCCACGCACGUUGAAAAGUGCGGGGAUGAGGUGGGGGUAGCGGAGAAAUUCCAAUCGAACCUGGAGAUAGCUGGUUCUCCCCGAAAUAGCUUUAGGGCUAGCCUCGGAAGUUGAGUCGUGGAGGUAGAGCACUGAUUGGAUGCGGGGCCCGCAAGGGUUACCAAGUUCAGUCAAACUCCGAAUGCCACAGACUUUAUUCCGGGAGUCAGACAGUGAGUGCUAAGAUCCAUUGUCGAAAGGGAAACAGCCCAGACCAUCAGCUAAGGUCCCCAAGUGUGUGUUAAGUGGGAAAGGAUGUGAAGUUGCACAGACAACCAGGAUGUUGGCUUAGAAGCAGCCACCAUUGAAAGAGUGCGUAAUAGCUCACUGGUCGAGUGACUUUGCGCCGAAAAUGUAACGGGGCUAAACACACCACCGAAGCUAUGGCUUGAUACUUUGUAUCAGGGGUAGGGGAGCGUUGAAUGAAGAUUGAAGGUGUACCGCAAGGAGCGCUGGACCUCAUUCAAGUGAGAAUGCCGGUAUGAGUAACGAAAAGAUCAGUGAGAAUCUGAUCCGCCGAAAACCCAAGGAUUCCUGAGGAAGGCUCGUCCUCUCAGGGUAAGUCGGGACCUAAGGCGAGGCCGAAAGGCGUAGUCGACGGACAACAGGUUGAAAUUCCUGUACCACCGAAAGCCGUUAUGAGCAAUGGGAUGACGCAGGAGGAUAGUGACGCGGACUGAUGGAUGUCCGUUCAAGCAGUGAGGCUGGUAUGUAGGCAAAUCCGCAUACCGCAAGGCCAGGCUGUGAUGAGGAGCGAAAAUUGGAGUAGCGAAGGUCAUGAUUUCACACUGCCAAGAAAAGUCUCUAGCCAGGAAGCAGGUGCCCGUACCGUAAACCGACACAGGUGGGUGAGAAGAGAAUUCUAAGGCGCGCGGAAGAACUCUCGUUAAGGAACUCGGCAAAAUGACCCCGUAACUUCGGGAGAAGGGGUGCCCCGGUAGUGUGAAUAGCACGAGGGGGCCGCAGUGAAAAGGCCCAAGCGACUGUUUAGCAAAAACACAGGUCUGUGCGAAGCCGCAAGGCGAAGUAUACGGGCUGACGCCUGCCCGGUGCUGGAAGGUUAAGGGGAGUGGUUAGCGCAAGCGAAGCUAUGAACCGAAGCCCCAGUAAACGGCGGCCGUAACUAUAACGGUCCUAAGGUAGCGAAAUUCCUUGUCAGGUAAAUUCUGACCCGCACGAAUGGCGUAACGAUUUGGGCGCUGUCUCAACGAGAGAUCCGGUGAAAUUUUAAUACCUGUGAAGAUGCAGGUUACCCGCGACAAGACGGAAAGACCCCAUGGAGCUUUACUGCAACUUGAUAUUGAACUGGGGUGCGAUUUGUACAGGAUAGGUGGGAGCCGUAGACAUCGGAGCGCAAGCUUCGGUUGAGGCGCCGUUGGGAUACCACCCUGAUCGCAUUUGAGUUCUAACCUCGUACCGUGAUCCGGUACAGGGACCGUGUCAGGUGGGCAGUUUGACUGGGGCGGUCGCCUCCUAAAGUGUAACGGAGGCGCCCUAAGGUUCCCUCAGAAUGGUUGGAAAUCAUUCGAAGAGUGUAAAGGCAUAAGGGAGCUUGACUGCGAGACAGACACGUCGAGCAGGGACGAAAGUCGGGCUUAGUGAUCCGGUGGUACCGCAUGGAAGGGCCAUCGCUCAACGGAUAAAAGCUACCCUGGGGAUAACAGGCUUAUCUCCCCCAAGAGUCCACAUCGACGGGGAGGUUUGGCACCUCGAUGUCGGCUCAUCGCAUCCUGGGGCUGAAGUAGGUCCCAAGGGUUGGGCUGUUCGCCCAUUAAAGCGGUACGCGAGCUGGGUUCAGAACGUCGUGAGACAGUUCGGUCCCUAUCUGUCGUGGGCGUAGGAAAUUUGAGAGGAGCUGUCCUUAGUACGAGAGGACCGGGAUGGACGCACCGCUGGUGUACCAGUUGUUCCGCCAGGAGCAUCGCUGGGUAGCUACGUGCGGAAGGGAUAAGCGCUGAAAGCAUCUAAGCGUGAAGCCCCCCUCAAGAUGAGAUUUCCCAGUAUGUAAGACCCCUUGUAGACGACGAGGUCAAUAGGUUGGGGGUGGAAGUGCCGCAAGGCAUGGAGCUGACCAAUACUAAUCGGUCGAGGGCUUAUCCAA